GAUGAACGCUGGCGGCGUGCCUAAUACAUGCAAGUCGAGCGAACAGACGAGGAGCUUGCUCCUCUGACGUUAUCGGCGGACGGGUGAGUAACACGUGGAUAACCUACCUAUAAGACUGGGAUCACUUCGGGAAACCGGAUCUAAUACCGGAAAAUAUAUUGAACCGUAUGGUUCAAUAGUGAAAGACGGUUUUGCUGCUACUAAUAGAUGGUUCCGCGCCGCAUUAGCUAGUUGGUAAGGUAACGGCUUACCAAGGCAACGAUGCGUAGCCGACCUGAGAGGGUGAUCGGCCACACUGGAACUGAGACACGGUCCAGACUCCUACGGGAGGCAGCAGUAGGGAAUCUUCCGCAAUGGGCGAAAGCCUGACGGAGCAACGCCGCGUGAGUGAUGAAGGUCUUCGGAUCGUAAAACUCUGUUAUUAGGGAAGAACAAAUGUGUAAGUAACUAUGCACGUCUUGACGGUACCUAAUCAGAAAGCCACGGCUAACUACGUG
rnacentral:rRNA from 1 species